rnacentral:rRNA from 1 species
UACAGGGGGUGCAAACGUUGCUCGGAAUCAUUGGGCGUAAAGCGCACGUAGGCGGUCUGUUAUGUCGGAUGUGAAAGCCCUCGGCUCAACCGGGAAGUGCACUCGAAACUGCAAGGCUAGAGUCUCGGAGAGGAUCGUGGAAUUCUCGGUGUAGAGGUGAAAUUCGUAGAUAUCGAGAGGAACACCGGUGGCGAAGGCGGCGUCUGGACGAUGACUGACGCUGAGACGCGAAAGCGUGGGGAGCAAACAGG